GUUUUUUCUGUAGUGUAGUGGUUAUCACGUCUGCCUAACACGCAGAAGGUCCCCAGUUCGAGCCUGGGCGGAAACA